AUGGGAGAGGCUGGAGGCCCCGGGCACAGCCAGGAGCCCCAGCCUCGCCUCCACCCCCAGGUCCCCACAGUGCAGCGAUCUGGAAGGAACUGGGAAUUUGGAGUCAGGUAAAAUGGACUUGAAGACUUGGCUCCUCCAGCUGUGUGAUCCUGAGCCUGGUGGAUUCCCAUUCAGACUUCUCCUCUCCACCUCCCUCUGGUGUAUUUGCCUGGCUCAGCGCAGGCCCAUGCCGCCCCUGCAGAAGGAUCUUCCUGAAAAACGGUACCCAAGGACUAAAGGGAAAUACACAGAAACACAAACUGCUGUUGCCUUCAGGCGCUGGGGUUGUAGGGGCUUGUUUUCUGGAGAACCUGCUGAGCGCGGGGCACCGGGAGGACCACACAGACGCCAGCCUUAGGAUUGGCAGGUGUUGCUGUCGGUUUGUGAGUCCAAGGCUUCUGGAAGACGCCGCUGUCAAAAGGAAAACUCCCCACCUGCUAGCUGGGGCCAUGCCAGGGCUGGGCUCCUGAGCCGGCCCCCCGAGGACUCACCCCCGAGGCACGGGCUGCAGAGCAGCCUGGCCUUCUGAGGUUCGCAGGUCUCAGCCGCGGAAGACGGAAGGACAGCAGACCUCAGCGGGACUGACUGCGAGCCCGGGUGGGGACUGGCAGUGACCGAAGACAAAGGUCGUGUACUCGGCGGACACCUGGGAGCACAGCAGGAGUGGUCCCGUCGCGGCCCAGGGGACCCACCAGGCUUGUCUGGAGGCGCGUGAGCAAGUGCCCGGGGCCCCCUGGGGAACAGCAGGCCGCGCAGACCCCCAGGGAGUGGCCGCGCGGUUUCACAGGGCAGGGCUCAGAGCCAGCGACACCCGUGAGCACGGGAGUGCAGGCCCAUUGUAACUCAGACAAGCGCCCACAGGCCUUCGGGCUGCUUCACAGUGGCUGUUGGCACACCUGCCUCCUCCCUGGAGCACCUCUUGGGGUGGGGACCGCGGCCGGCCCUGUCCUGUUUCCCCGCCGCCUUCCCAGCCUCCUGGCCCUGGCAGUGUUUAUUCCAAGUGUGGAGCCAGGAAGGUGGAGAAGGAGAGCCCUUCCCAAGGGCAUGUGUGACUGGAGGGACAGGGACAAGGAGCCCCAGGGCCUUUGAGCCAUUUAUGAAGGAGGGAGGAGUCCAAGAUGGUGGCUGGAGGCGCCGAGAGCAAAGCUUGGGGGGUCAUGAUUUUAAAGGGUCACCCCUACUCGGGGCUGGACUGCUGUUGCGGGUCUUCACAGGCUCCCAGGAGGAAGGAGGCAGCCCCUAGGGAGGGCCUUUCCUCGGUCAGACUUCAGAAGCAGGUCCAUCCUUGUCCGAAGCCUGCUCCCUUAGUCCGUCCCACCUCCCGCUCCAGCGCACAGGAGAGCUCCCCUACCCCAUGCACUUGGCCUCAGCUUUGCUGAUUUCGCCACUGACCAUGGAACAGUCAUGUCCCUUCACCUUCUCUGUCUCUGCCGCCCCUUUCUCUGCCCCACUCACGCCUCCACGUUUGACAGUUCUUCCAACUGCCCACUCUCAGACCUUGACGGGGACACGUGAUCCUUCUUCUGUGUGAAUUAAUAAACCCUGCUGGGCAGUUUCCCCUCCUGGAGAGCUUGCCUUGGAGCUCGGAGCCUGGA